UACAGAGGGGGCCAGCGUUAUUCGGAAUUAUUGGGCGUAAAGGGCGCGUAGGCGGCCAUGCGUGUCUUCCGUGAAAUCCCUCGGCUUAACUGAGGACGUGCGGAAGAAACUGCAAGGCUUGAGUCCGGGAGAGGGGGGUGGAAUUCCCAGUGUAGCGGUGAAAUGCGUAGAUAUUGGGAGGAACACCAGUGGCGAAGGCGGCUAUCUGGACGGUUUCUGACGCUAAGACGCGAAAGCGUGGGGAGCAAACAGG
rnacentral:rRNA from 1 species